rnacentral:rRNA from 1 species
GGAACGGGCGGCGUGCUAUACAUGCAAGUCGAGCGGACAGAUGGGAGCUUGCUCCCUGAUGUUAGCGGCGGACGGGUGAGUAACACGUGGGUAACCUGCCUGUAAGACUGGGAUAACUCCGGGAAACCGGGGCUAAUACCGGAUGGUUGUUUGAACCGCAUGGUUCAAACAUAAAAGGUGGCUUCGGCUACCACUUACAGAUGGACCCGCGGCGCAUUAGCUAGUUGGUGAGGUAAUGGCUCACCAAGGCAACGAUGCGUAGCCGACCUGAGAGGGUGAUCGGCCACACUGGGACUGAGACACGGCCCAGACUCCUACGGGAGGCAGCAGUAGGGAAUCUUCCGCAAUGGACGAAAGUCUGACGGAGCAACGCCGCGUGAGUGAUGAAGGUUUUCGGAUCGUAAAGCUCUGUUGUUAGGGAAGAACAAGUACCGUUCGAAUAGGGCGGUACCUUGACGGUACCUAACCAGAAAGCCACGGCUAACUACGUGCCAGCAGCCGCGGUAAUACGUAGGUGGCAAGCGUUGUCCGGAAUUAUUGGGCGUAAAGGGCUCGCAGGCGGUUUCUUAAGUCUGAUGUGAAAGCCCCCGGCUCAACCGGGGAGGGUCAUUGGAAACUGGGGAACUUGAGUGCAGAAGAGGAGAGUGGAAUUCCACGUGUAGCGGUGAAAUGCGUAGAGAUGUGGAGGAACACCAGUGGCGAAGGCGACUCUCUGGUCUGUAACUGACGCUGAGGAGCGAAAGCGUGGGGAGCGAACAGGAUUAGAUACCCUGGUAGUCCACGCCGUAAACGAUGAGUGCUAAGUGUUAGGUGGUUUCCGCCCCUUAGUGCUGCAGCUAACGCAUUAAGCACUCCGC